AGGGUCAUAGCUCAGAGGUAGAGCAUCUGCUCUUCGUGCAGAAGGUCCCAAGUUCAAUCCCAGUCAGGUUUGAUCCUU